GAUGAACGCUGGCGGCGUGCCUAAUACAUGCAAGUCGAGCGGACGGACGAGAAGCUUGCUUCUCUGAUGUUAGCGGCGGACGGGUGAGUAACACGUGGAUAACCUACCUAUAAGACUGGGAUAACUUCGGGAAACCGGAGCUAAUACCGGAUAAUAUUUUGAACCGCAUGGUUCAAAAGUGAAAGACGGUCUUGCUGUCUCUUAUAGAUGGAUCCGCGCUGCAUUAGCUAGUUGGUAAGGUAACGGCUUACCAAGGCAACGAUGCAUAGCCGACCUGAGAGGGUGGUCGGCCACACUGGAACUGAGACACGGUCCAGACUCCUACGGGAGGCAGCAGUAGGGAAUCUUCCGCAAUGGGCGAAAGCCUGACGGAGCAACGCCGCGUGAGUGAUGAAGGUCUUCGGAUCGUAAAACUCUGUUAUUAGGGAAGAACAUAUGUGUAAGUAACUGUGCACAUCUUGACGGUACCUAAUCAGAAAGCCACGGCUAACUACGUG
rnacentral:rRNA from 1 species